rnacentral:rRNA from 1 species
UACGUAGGGGGCAAGCGUUAUCCGGAUUUACUGGGUGUAAAGGGAGCGUAGGCGGUGAUGCAAGUCAGAAGUGAAAGCCCGCAGCUCAACUGCGGGACUGCUUUUGAAACUGUAUGACUAGAUUGCAGGAGAGGUAAGUGGAAUUCCUAGUGUAGCGGUGAAAUGCGUAGAUAUUAGGAGGAACACCAGUGGCGAAGGCGGCUUGCUGGACUGUAAAUGACGCUGAGGCUCGAAAGCGUGGGGAGCAAACAGG